GCAGUCGUGGCCGAGUGGUUAAGGCUAGAUGGACCAGAAAUCCAUUGGGGUUUCCCCGCACAGGUUCGAGUCCUGUCGACUGCG
rnacentral:tRNA from 2 species